UAAAAACAAAAAAAAUCAGGCCAAGAUGGCGUCUGCCUGGGGCAGAAUUGAGUCUCUUCUCCAUCCCCAUCCAUUCAUGUGUGCCUGUGUGUUGUAACUAGACGAAACUCGUGCCAAUUUGGUGGGGGUGAAAUAUCCAGACUGCGGUCUUCUAUCAAUAGAAGAAGCCGCAUAAAGGAUAGCUAGAGAUCGCCGGCCGGGAAAGGAUUUAGAUACAGUGUGUGCCUUCUCCGACGUGUUUAUACAAUAGAGCAAUUGGCACCUCCCGUCUUCCACUCCCUUGUGUUGUCCUGUGCCUUCUUUCGCUGUCCGAUCUCCGUGAGUCGCAUUCCCUUCAAGGGAUCGGAAAGUGCCCAUAUUGCAUUCUACAGUGGCUUACGGUUGCGUUGAAACGCCGCCAAAAACAUGGAAUCAAGAACCAAUUCAGCUCUGUUCAAAAGGGCUGAACAACUGAGAAGGUGGGAGGAAUCAGAGACAAACAAGGAACCUGCAUCUGCUCGUGUUGUUUCAAGGAGGAUCCAGUUCUCUGAUGGAUGUGUAUUUCUCUCUGCUUGUGCUGCCGGUGACAAGGAAGAAGUCAUCAAACUCAUUCGACAAGGAGCUGACAUAGACACCCCCAACGUUGACGGUUUGACUGCUCUGCAUCAGGCCUGCAUUGAUGAUAAUUUAGACAUGGUGGAGUUUUUGGUAGAACAUGGAGCUGAUAUUAACCGUGGAGAUCAUGAAGGCUGGACUCCUCUGCAUGCCACUGCCUCUUGUGGGUUUCUAUCAAUUGCCAGGUACCUGAUUGAGCACAACUCAGACGUUGCUGCUGUGAACAAUGAUGGUGAGCUCCCCAUUGACAUAGCUGAAACAGAAGCUAUGGAAGAAUUGCUCGAACGCGAAACACAGUUACGAGGCAUUGACUGCGAUGCGGCGCGAAGCCAAGAGGAACGACAAAUGCUUGCCGACACUAGUCGGUGGCUGGAAGGCGACCCGGCCUCAGCUCGGCUGCUCCAGCCGCACCCUAGAACAGGCGCAACUCCGCUGCAUGUUGCUGCGGCUAAAGGCUACAUCCGAGUUAUGAGCAUGCUGGUCCAAGGCGGAAGCGAGCUGAACAUUCAAGACAUCGAUGGCUGGACACCAUUACAUGCGGCUGCCCAUUGGGGUCAACGUGAAGCAUGUCAACUGUUGUGCGAAAAUAUGGCUGAUAUGGAAGUUCGCAAUUACGUGGGUCAGACGUGUUUUGAUGUGGCUGAUCCUGACAUUAUCCGGUUACUUGAGGAGUGUAAAAAGCGCCAGGCUAUUAUUUUACGAGAACGGCCUGAAGUGUACAACAAUCGAGGCAAUGCUAGAAAUCAGUCACCGCCCAAAAGACGAUCUUCGGUCACCCGGACUCCACAGAUAGAGAAGGCCGCCAUCCAGGCCUCGUCCAAAAUCACCGAUAAAGUGCCUGGUGCCGUCAUCAUGGUCGACGAAGAAAAGGAGAACAGCAGCGGGGAAUUGUCUUCACCCGUGGCCCCUCUUGCCGUCCAGGAGUCCUUUGAAGAAAGAGCCAAACCUGCCACAACCCCUGCCAACACUACCACAUCCGUCCCGACUUCAACGAAAGAUAAUUCUCCUAGAGGGACUUCGUCAAGUGGACCCCCGUCACGUCCACCACCUCCACCAGCCACAGAUGUGGACGCUUUGCCGUCUUCGCCAUCACAGCAAUCGGGUCAGAUGAUUGAAUCCGAGGAGGAUAUUCCUUCUUGGAGAAGACCUGGCUCGUUCCGUUCGAGGCAAGCAGCCAAUGCAGCCAAUGGUAGCGGAGCCUUGAACCACACUCCGGCUAAAUCGGAGCGAGAAGGAUUAAACCGGUCCACCUCUCAGCCUUUAACUCCUGUGACGGCCGUCACAUCUUCCUCGUCGUCGGCCACCCCUCAGUCCUCUUCAACGACUUCGUCCAACCUCGCCUCAACCGCCUCAUCCAUCUCCUCAUCAACGUCCGCCUUGUCUACCGAUACGGAAGUGACACUACGGAGAGCUCACAGUUUCGAGUCCGAUGAACGAUUUUAUUCGCGGCUACUGGAACUGAAGCGACGGAUCAAGGCCAAUUCUUUGCCUCUGCUGGCCGCCGCCUCGCUCACUCCGAUCUUGAGCGGCAGCAGCAGCGGUGGGGAGGAUGCCAAGGGUGGAGGCUCACCUACUACCACUACUAACACUAUUCAUUCAACCAAUAACCGAAGCCGAGUCGAACAAACCCAACAAAUUGACGACGACCUUGAACAAGUCGUUCUACGGGUAAAAAGUCGGUUGGGAACGGAAUGUCCCGUCGAACAAACGACAACGGCCACGUUGGUCUUAUCGCAGCCCAGUGUGCCGUCAUCGGCCAAUCAGCCCAUACGCAGUCCGACGGCCAACAUGGUUGUGACCACGACAGCGACCUCAUCGCUCUCCAACGUCAAACUAAGUCCUGGAACGAUUAUCAAGAAUUUCUUCAAGUCAUUUGUUCCUCCAGUACGUGACGAAGAGUCAGAAACGCAGCGAAAGGCGCACGCCAAGCGCGUCCGCGAAACCCGGCGUUCCACGCAGGGCGUUACGCUGGAAGAGGUCAAAACGGCCGAACAGCUAGCCAAGAAAAAACAGGCCGAAACUCCUUCCGUACCUACGACGACGACGACGACCACCACCUCCGAAGUCCCCGAGUCGGCUGAUUCAAAAUCCGAGCUGGAACGACGGCCAUCCUGGAGAUUAUGCAUCAACGACAACAACAAGAACAAGUUCUCAUUGGAAGAUUCACGGAGUAAGAAUAAUGGAGGAGGAGGCGGUGUGAAUGCUUCGUCCACCAUCACAUCAUCAACAGCCGACACGGUCAUCACGAUCCCGCUGCGUCGCAACAAAGCCCAGGAAGAAGAAAUAAAGGAAACAACGAAAGAGAGCGCAGCAGCCGCUACCCCGGCAACGAUCCAACGGAGGCGCCGACCCAAACGGCGCUCGACGGGUGUCGUUCAGAUCGACAUGGAGGAUUUCGACCCUUCCGGCAAAGACAACACCUCUUCAUCACAGACGGGCGACAGUGAACCUCAUUCGGAUGAUUCAGAGUCGUUGUCGGAUCGAGGUAGCAGUUCACGUCAAGUCUCCCGACCGUCUUCACUCGGCUCGUCCAUCAGCGAUGUACGCGACGAUCCGCCGGCCGCCAACACUCAACCGUCGACGCCCAUCACGUCCCAGCAACAACCCACCAUGGCGGCGGCGGCAGCCGCCGUCGCUUCCGGCGCCAUGACUCCCAACGGCGACAUUGACUACAAAAAAUUAUGGGAGGAAAGCCAAGUGGAGAACGAACGGCUGCGCGAUCGAUUGCGAUCCACGCACGAAGAGCUGUCCAAAUGUAAAGAUCAGCUGGACAACGCCUUUCAAGUGAGCAACGCACGCAACGCCAUGACGGAAGCGGAGAAACGUGAACGUCGAGCCCUCGAGCGGAAGCUCUCCGAGAUGGAAGAAGAGCUCAAACAAUUGCAAAAGUUGAAGGCCGAAAAUGAGAAGCUGAAAGCGGAGAAUCGGGCCCUAACGCGUGUCGUUUCCAAAUUGACGGCCAACGCAACUCUGGCGUCCACUUCUUCCUCCUCCAACUCCUCCUCUUAUUAUUCUCCCUCCGCCAAUUCUGCAACUUCGUCUUCUUCUUCCUCUUCGUACAUCGGCGGAAAAUAGGAAUCCCAGAAGAUGGUGGAGCUGCUUCGCUCGGACAUUGGCAAAAUGCGUGACGAGAAUGGCGCUCUCAUCCGCGUCAUCAGCAAACUCUCCAAGUGAUAUUGUUGAACUCUUCCAAUGAUUUUCCCUCCUCUUCUCAUUUGCUUCCUGACUGCAUACCUUCCUCACUUCAAUGUGCAAAAGAUCACAUGGUUUCGGCUGUCGGGAGGGAGAGGUCCAUCUUUAUGAAUCGCCCGGCGCGAGGUAAAAGCGGAAAAUGAUUCGCAAAAUGUUUUGUUGUCGGGUCGCCUUUAUGGAAAUCAACCCCCCCAAAAAAAAAAAAAUAAUAAUAACUCGAUUCAAUCAUUUAAAGUAAUAUUAAAAAUUAAGUAAAAUAACAACGAUGAUAGUAAAAAUGAAUUUCUUUCGGUGAUUACAAUCAUUAGUUUUGCUGCCGCCUCCCGCCCACAGAUCUUUUCGUGAGAGAGAGAAGGGAACAUUGUGCGUGGUAAAGCAGCUUUCCUAAUCGAAACAUUUGAACAAGACGAAAAAGAAGAAAAUUAUUUAAAGAAGUAGAAAAGAGAAACGAGAGAUCGGCAUUUGAAUUUGAAAUCCUUGUUCAAAUUGAGACGAAGAAAUUGAUUUAACGGCAUGCCAAUUACAUCCAUUCUCUUUCCCUCUCUUGCUCUUCUUGAAAUGGAUCUGCUCCAUCUUCCUUUUGAUACCGACACAUUUGUAUUUAAAAAAAAAAAAAAAUUUUGCGCGACUGGUAUUAUUAAUUACUAUAUUGUCAUCCUUUUGUGUGACUUGUUUUUGAGGCUUUGUUGAUUUUGGUUUUUCGAUGGAAUGUUCCCGGAGUUUCGUUUUGGGUGGAGUAUCUUUAAGCCGGAUUGUCCAUCCCCCCCGCACUUGUUCUCAAAUGAACGCCAAACAAAAGAGGAAAAAGUAUCUUGAAAGAAAAGAAAAUGUAAUCGUAAAUUUAGAUUGGCAACGUGAGGGGUAGACAGCAGAUGCCGAGAAGUUGAUGACGUAUUUAUUCGACUCUAUUUGGCAAAAGCUAUCUACCGUGUUAAUUCUUUUUAUUUUUUUGUUUCAAUCCUAUUUCGAUUGAUAAAUUGCGGUUGGCAGAUUGGGGGCGGGGGGUGGGUGGCAUCAAGGAAUUUGCAUUUUAGUAAUUCUUUUUUUGAAAUUGGGUUGGAUUGUGUCAGCCUUGCAUUCGUAGAAAAAGGGAAAACAAUUUUUUUAAAUCCAAUUAAAAGGUGCCUUAUGGUCGCGAUCACAAUUUAUGUCAGUUUUUUUUCUUAUUGAAUUAGCUCUCCAAACCACUCAAACUGAUAAUUUUGAUUAUUUUUUUUUUUCAUUGGUUAUUUCGAGCGUGUGAAACAAUUUUUGGCGAUCGUGUUAGUCUCUCUCACUCUCUCUUCGCUUUCUUUAUCUUCCACCACAAACAACAAGCCUCAAUCUCCUCCUUUUAUGGGGAUUCCUUUCUCUUUAGAUACAAUUUUGUUUUUCUUACUCCUUUCUCGCUGCUGCCGCUUUUUUGUUUCACGUACACACUUUUGUUGUUGUUGUCUCCUGAACGUCUUCACACUACUCACUCACGCCCUCACCCCCUCAAAAAAAUAUGUCACCUCUUUGUGGUGUUGACUCUUUAAAGAAGAAGAAAGAAGCGAUUAAUUGAUGGUUCAUGAUGAUGCGAAAAAGCAAAAAGAGAAUUGCACCCGACCUUGAAACAAAAAGAGAAAAAAAUUAUGAACAAUUUUUGUUUUUCGAAACCUGAAGGAUAUUUCAAUCACAAGGUAAAAACAAAUUUUUUGAGGAAAAUCGAGUGCCGAUUUUUGUUACGUUGAUUGUACAUUUUUUUGAACCUCCUCCCUCCCAAUGGCCCCACCCCUUGCCCCCUCCCUUGCUCCUGACUUGAUGAUGAAAAAAAUCCAUGUUGUUCAACUAUUUUUCUUCUCUAGAUUCGCUUUGAAAUUGAUAAUUAAGCUUUUCUGUCCCCAAAAAACCCCCCUCACAUACAAUGAUAUAAUCUUUACAUUUUUUUUCCCCUUUUGUUUGCCACCCAAUUUUUUUUUUACUGUUUCUCUAUCUCUUUCUAUUUCUCCAGUUGUGUCCUAGUCGCGUUGAUUCUCUCGCCAGUUUCUACCGAUUCGUUGAAUUAUAAUCCAAUUAAUGACGAACUUUUUUUUUCUUUAUCUUAUAUUCUCAUACCUGCCCCCCAUCUCCCCAUCUCCCCAAUUCCCUUCCCUCAAUUUGCCUCGUGACAUUUUCUUUUUUGUAUUUGUUCGUGUAUUAUUCAUUAGCUUCCAUAUUAUGAUUAGAUAAGAGAGGCCAUUUGAUUAAACAAUAAGUCUUUUUUUUUUUUCCUUUUAAAUUAUCUAGUGCCCUUUCCCUUACGCUCCAAGAAUAUUCUUUCCCUCCCAUAACCUAAUCAAAUAACUAUCCCUGCCCUUUAAUUAUUUUUUUUCUUCUUUUGUUGGAAAUUUUCUUUUGUCUUAUUGGGGAGAACGUCACAACAGAAGAAAUCGACGGGAAAAAGUAGUUAUCAAAAGAUAACCGAAUCGAUUCGGAUUUCUCCUCGUCAAUGAGUAAGAUUUUUGGACUCCUCCCUACAGUUUCUCUUCUCCCUGCUCCUUAAUGAUUUUGUCGACGUUGUUAUAAUUUUAAAAUUUGUCAUCACAUUAUAUACACACCGCCUCCUCCCGAAGAAGAAGAAGAAGAAAAAACAAAGAAACAAAAAGAAUGAAAAUCAAGCAAAUAAGAAAAAAAAAAUAAUAAUAAAGCCAUGAUAUUUGAAAUGAUUUCAAACAAACAAAAACCUAAAAAAAAAAAAAAAACGAGGAUAAAAAAAAAAAAUACGAAGUUUGAAAAUACAACUGGAAUGUUCAGUUAAAUGUUUUAUGCUGUUUUGAAAUGAACGUUUUACUCAGAAA
rnacentral:misc_RNA from 1 species